AUGUUAGCGGCGGACGGGUGAGUAACACGUGGAUAACCUACCUAUAAGACUGGGAUAACUCCGGGAAACCGGGGCUAAUACCGGAUAAUAUUUUGAACCGCAUGGUUCAAUAGUGAAAGACGGUUUCGGCUGUCACUUAUAGAUGGACCCGCGCCGUAUUAGCUAGUUGGUAAGGUAACGGCUUACCAAGGCGACGAUACGUAGCCGACCUGAGAGGGUGAUCGGCCACACUGGAACUGAGACACGGUCCAG
rnacentral:rRNA from 1 species